UACGUAGGUGGCGAGCGUUGUCCGGAAUGACUGGGCGUAAAGGGAGCGUAGGUUGCAAUUUAAGUUAAAUGUGAAAGCCCGUGGCUCAACUACGGAACUGCAUUUAAUACUGGAUAGCUAGAGUACAGGAGGGGUGAGCGGAAUUCCUAGUGUAGCGGUGGAAUGCGUAGAUAUUAGGAAGAACACCGGAGGCGAAGGCGGCUCACUGGACUGCAACUGACACUGAGGCUCGAAAGCGUGGGGAGCAAACAGG
rnacentral:rRNA from 1 species